GACGAACGCUGGCGGCGUGCUUAACACAUGCAAGUCGAACGGAAAGGCCCUGCUUUUGUGGGGUGCUCGAGUGGCGAACGGGUGAGUAACACGUGAGUAACCUGCCCUUGACUUUGGGAUAACUUCAGGAAACUGGGGCUAAUACCGGAUAGGAGCUCCUGCUGCAUGGUGGGGGUUGGAAAGUUUCGGCGGUUGGGGCUGGACUCGCGGCUUAUCAGCUUGUUGGUGGGGUAGUGGCUUACCAAGGCUUUGACGGGUAGCCGGCCUGAGAGGGUGACCGGCCACAUUGGGACUGAGAUACGGCCCAGACGCCUACGGGAGGCAGCAGUGGGGAAUAUUGCACAAUGGGCGGAAGCCGGAUGCAGCAACGCCGCGUGCGGGAUGACGGCCUUCGGGUUGUAAACCGCUUUCGCCUGUGACGAAGCGUGAGUGACGGUAAUGGGUAAAGAAGCACCGGCUAACUACGU
rnacentral:rRNA from 1 species